GUCCUAGUUUGGUUCCCUGCUGAAAGUCCUUCUUCAUUCCAGGAGCAGCACUGCUGGAGGAGCUUGUGUAUUUUUAGAGGUUUUCUUCCAGUAUGAAUGCAUGCUGCAGUAUCACAUGAGCCCAGGUUUUGGGACAGGUGAUGCCUUGAGAUAACGCCAUUCUGUAACUAGUUCUUGCUUCGUUGUUGCUCUUGAAUCAAAUUCUUGAAAAGUCAUUCAAUAUUGACUGAAAGCCAGAGGAAGAAAAGGUUCGUGCCCUGGAGCUCCAAGGAAGCUGUGAAAAAGGCAUCUAAAGAUUAAAUUUAUAGGUGGUGCUGAAACACAUUUUAUUUUGUCUUGAAAUCAAGAUUGCAGCAUACUUUAUGUUCACAUUCUGCAUGGAUUUGAAGCCAUUGUCAUCAUCAUGUUGGUUUGGGCGUUUUGUGGAGCAGGGUUGCAUCUUAGAGUAUUGGUUUGGUUAAAUAAAAUACCUGGACAAAAGACAAAGUGCUCAAGGCAGAUGGACAUCCUUCCUGUCUGAAUGAUGACGGGCUUUCUCCAGGCUGGUGAGAAUGUUGUUCCACAGGACCAUCCAGUCAAGGAGGACACACGAAGAGACCUUCCACCAUUCUCUUCUAAGACAAAGCUUAGCAAGGAACGGGGAAGAGGAAGGAGAGAGUGGGAACAGAAGAGUGAGUGCAAGAGUUGCAUCAACAUAACCCUAAAUUGAGGUCACAAGAAGAUGGAGAAGGGUUUGUUCUUGUAAGGCUCAGGAUUGAGCCUUAUACCCCAUGCCCUGUUUUCUGCAACUCUUUUGCGAUGU